rnacentral:lncRNA from 1 species
AAAGCAAAACAAUUACAUUUUUUCUUUUAGUUUUAUAAACUAAUGAAAUUAAUCUGUUCCAACUCAAUCAGUUGUUUCAUACUGGAAAAUGUCACACAUCGGGGCUUUUAGGAAGGAAUCAUUGCCGUGCCUUGGUGAAGGGUGAGUAUGGCUUUAACAACUGCUGGUGGAGGAGCCUUGGAGGAAAGAACAGGAUAGUAAAUGCAAUUGCUUGUCUCCUGAGAGUUAACUCACAGUCCAGAUGUCCUACCACCUAUCUACCUGUAGUCUGAAGGCACUUUGUGAGUAAUAAAAGCAUGUAAAUUGUAAAUUCUUCUCCUUUUCUCUUUCAAUAUCUUACAAUGUAUCAAUGACAAUUGCUAUUGUUAUUGGUAACAGGUUGAUGUCAUACCGAAGGCUUUGGAGCCAAAAAAGCUUGUGUUUGAACUCCGGCCCCACCAUUGUAUGGUCUUAGACAAAUGACUUAACCUCUUUAAGCCUUGAUGUCCAUACUGUAAAAAACGAGACAAUAAAACCUACUUAUUGUAAGGAUAUAAUGACAUUAUUAACAUAUCUAUUCUAUUGCCUGAUGCAUAGCAUAAGCUCAAAAAUACUAGUUUUCCUAUUCUAAAAUGUUUAAAAAAAAUUAUAAUCCAUACCUCUUCUACUUCAGAAAGUGUUUUAAUACAUAAAAGCAGUGAUUUAGCAAUAUCAAAUCGAAGUUUGAGAGCCAGAAGAACUUGGAGGACCAUUGAUUUUAAAGGUUUCUUUGUUUUUUAUGAACAACAGGAAUUUCCUCUUAUGUCUUCAGAACCUUGAGUUUACCAGGAAGACAAGGUGACUGAGAUACUUCUUUAAGCCCAGAAACUGAAGAAGGCAGCUGUCAGGGAUGGCUUGGAAUGUUCUACAAGUAACUAAAAAAGUUUCCAGCUCUCCUGUCACAAAGUGGCUAUUGAGACUUCAAAUGUCAGAUGAUCUCCUUUGAAGCAGCAAAAUAGAGUGGAUAGAACUCCAGGAUGGAUGUCAAAAAACUCUGUGAUCCUAGUUCUAACUCAAAUUUACCUUUCAUAUGGUAUGAGGUUGGCAACAAAUGAUUCAUGGACCACCACUCAUCUAUAGACCAGACAUUAGUAAGAUGUGCUUGCUUCUCCUUCG